UUUACUGAUUACUUAUUUUCAAAAGUAAUUAAUUACUUAGUUACUUAGUUACUUUUUAAAAACACGAUUUACAACCUGAAUAGGUGCUAAAGCAAUAGAUCUUUCAGCCCAAUUCUACUUUUUCUGCAUAAUCCAUCAUACAAAAUGUAAUCAAAUGGAAAAGUCUCUUUUUAAAACUUGUUUUAUUAGUUUUAAUCUUUUAACUUUAUGCAUCAAGCAAAAAUUAAAUUAUAUGCAACAUUCUCUGACUGGAAGAAAUUUGUUUAACAUUUAAACCUAUUUUCUGCACAUUCCAGCACAUAAAAUAAAAUAUUUUUUUGUGUUUACACUCAGUCUUUCAAAUAAAUCCAAGUGAAACACAGCAGAAAAUAAAUAAAAUCAAAGACUCAGCGGUCCUGUUGCUCUAUUUUCACCUGUAUAGCAGGCGGAUGUUUGCCCUGGUGCAGGUGUGCCGCAGCGGUCAGUGGAAGAAUCCGUGAGUUUGUCUGUGAAUUUCCCAUUCCGUGGUAGCAUCUUCGGUGCUUGCUCGGAAGUUAAGGGUUUUUUCGCUGUAAAAAGAAGUUUUCUUCCCACGCAGUGAACAGCGGACGCUAAUGUUUUUGUCACUUCUUACGGAAUCAAACCUCAAAGUAAGGCCCCAGGCAAAACGGAGAGCCCACCACAGGGACAGGAGGAAAGAGCGAGAGAGAGAGGAGCGCACGAGCGAGCUGUGAUGAUGAAUUGAUUGAUGAAUGCAAAUGAAGAUGAAUGCAUGUGGCAAAUACAGAUAACAAGAGGAAUAUGAAGAGCACAGCAGCUGGUUCACCUUUUCCCCCCCCCUGUAGCAGAAAAUAGGAAUAGCUGAUAUGUAUCUAGCCUAUUAAUACCACGACAGUGACAGUGAACGCACCACUAAACCAGAUAUGGCUCUCUUAUCGCAAAUCGUAUGGCCUAGGAACAGCGGCCACCAGUCUUUCUGUACCAUCUGGAGCCUAAUCACUGGGAUGGGAGAAACAGAUCACCUUCAUCGCCUUACAUCCUAACCUUUAUUGCCCUAUGGAACGUGCCCUUAAACUGACUACAGAUCAGUGUGCAUGUAGAUUAACGAGCAGUCGUUUAUGUUCUUAAUUGUUUGUCCCCAGCGCAGCAUCGCUCCAUCACAAAACAUCCCGAGUGGAAACAACCUGGUGGACACUGGUGUGCGUGGAGGUGGACUGCGCAUGCUUGUGUUUGUGGACGUAGCUUUAUGAUAUCAGCAGAUGUCUCACAGAAGUAUCUGUCAGUAUUUGCAGAUUAAUCCGUUGGUAAUCACGAUAAGUGGGAAGAUAAUAAAUAAAAGUAACUUAGUGUCACUUUUCCUAAUUUUACCUGUAGAAAAUCAGCUUCUUCACCACCAAAAUAAAAAUCUAAUUUUUCUUUUAGUUCACCAGCAGGGAAAUUAGUUUUGUGUUUAUUUUCCAAAGUUUAAUCUCUGAGAUUUCUGUCUCGGUGUCAAGAGUUGAUGUUUUUCCUAAUGAAGUUUAGUCUGUGUGAAAGCAUUUUGCAGCUUAUAAUGAC
ensembl:lncRNA